rnacentral:rRNA from 1 species
GUAGGGGGCUAGCGUUGUCCGGAAUCAUUGGGCGUAAAGCGCGUGUAGGCGGCCCGGUAAGUCCGCUGUGAAAGUCGGGGGCUCAACCCUCGAAAGCCGGUGGAUACUGUCGGGCUCGAGUGCGGAAGAGGCGAGUGGAAUUCCUGGUGUAGCGGUGAAAUGCGCAGAUAUCAGGAGGAACACCGAUUGCGAAGGCAGCUCGCUGGGACGUUACUGACGCUGAGACGCGAAAGCGUGGGGAGCAAACAGGAUUAGAUACCCUGGUAGUCCACGCUGUAAACGAUGGGCACUAGGUGUGGGGGGUAUCGACUCCCUCCGUGCCGAAGCUAACGCAUUAAGUGCCCCGCCUGGGGAGUACGGCCGCAAGGCUAAA